UGACCGCCGCGGAUACUCCCACCUCGUA
rnacentral:sRNA from 1 species